ACAAAUCUUUCCAUGAACUUUUUGAAGUACCCUCGUGUGUGUGCACAUCUGUUUGCCCAUUCUUUUUUCUUCUCUCCGUAGAUAAAAAAGGAGACUUUUUAUUCUAUAAUUAUAGGUUAUUCUGAAGUUGAAAUUGAACUAAGUAUUAAAAUUAAAGAGAGCAGAGUAACAUAGUAAAACUCUUACCUUGCAUUAAUUAUUAGGAUAUCAAGUCUACUACAGCACUUCCAAUUCUAUUCAUGUGAUUGCACACAUAGAAAAUCAUGUUUAUUAUAGAGCACACUGAGGAAAAUGCACAAGGCUGCUCCAAGCCAGAGGCCUCCUCAGGCCCUGCCUGGCCACCCCAAGCUGACAAGAACCUUAUCUUAGCACAUUAAUUAGGAAACUCUGAUCUAAUCACAUUCCUGGUAAAUGUAGUCAUUUUUUACCAUAAGAGAUUAUUAUUUUUAAAUUAAGAAACAUUUUAUUUAUAUAUAAGGUUACAUGUAACAUAUGUGUACGGUUAAAAAUAAUAGAAAUGAAUAUUUGUAAACCCAAUAAUCAGAUUAAGAAAGAAACAUUUCCAUUAUGUUUGGAUCCCCCACGUAGUGCUGAUCAAUUGUGCCUUUUCUGCCAGAGGUUAUCGUUUUCUUAAAUUUCAGGUUUAUCUUUACUCUUUUUCUUUAUACUUUAAGCACACAUUACUGUAUCUUUACAUGUUUUGGCUUUCUGUGGUUUUUGAACUUUUUAUAAAUAAAAUCAUACUACGUGUAUUUUUCUGA